rnacentral:rRNA from 1 species
CAAUAGCGUAUAUUAAAGUUGUUGCAGUUAAAAAGCUCGUAGUUGGAUUUGUGGCGUACGGUGUGUUCCGGGCACUUGUUGUCUGAGUAACCUGCUGUUGCCAUCCUUGGGUGGAACCUGUGUGGCAUUAGGUUGUCGUGCAGGGGAUGCCCAUCAUUUACUGUGAAAAAAUUAGAGUGUUCAAAGCAGGCUUAUGCCGUUGAAUAUAUUAGCAUGGAAUAAUGAGAUAGGACUUUUUUGCUAUUUUGUUGGUUUGCGCAAGAAGGUAAUGAUUAAUAGGGACAGUUGGGGGUAUUCGUAUUCCAUUGUCAGAGGCGAAAUUCUUGGAUUUUUGGAAGACGAACUACUGCGAAAGCAUUUACCAAGGAUGUUUUCAUUAA